rnacentral:lncRNA from 1 species
UGUGUGUGGUAAACAUGCUUCUUUUUCUUUAUUUAUUUGUUUUUAUUAUUAUUGUAGGAAUGUUUUUGCAGUUGAGAUUUUGGGAUUGCCUUUUCUCUGGGACUGAGUUCAAAUGCAACCACGGAGCUGAAACAGUGCAUCAGUUCCCACUAGUACUGCAGACAUAAGAAUUCAGAAUAACACUUCUACGCCUACAAAUACAUAACAACGGAGUUUGGGGUCAACUACAGAACCAAAAGGAAAACACCACUGAUGGGAUCCUUCACAGCUGAAUUUAGUCGGCUGCAACAUGGACACUGGCAGCUCAUUUGUUCCUUGCUUAUACCAACAUGGAUGUCAUUUUCAAGCUAUGCAGUCGGAUAGUCUGGCAAGAAACUGGACAGAAUUACCUCUUUGUUAGCUCUUUUAACAGAACUUCUAGUGUUUCUGGGGAUUUCUUCAUUUGUAUGGAGAGCCAGACACCAUAUCAGAAGUCACCUGAUAAGAGCUGGCAGUGGAUUUGAUGAAAGUUUGUGAACCUGGAAAUAUUUUGAAUAAAACAUUUCAAGUAAGCUGAAAUUAACA